rnacentral:lncRNA from 1 species
CCCUCCUCGCUGGAAAAUUAAUUUUCGGCUAUUUCUUUUCCAGCUCUAUCUUCUUCUCCAGAAAUUUGGUCUCUUCUUCUUCGCAUCGUCGUCUUCCCCAACAGCUAAUUUGCACACCUUUUGUAUUUUGCAAUCAUCAUCCCAACAACUAAUCUUCCCCAAAAUUCUGAACAAGAAGAAAGGGGUUGUAAUGUGUAACCACCUGUCGGCAAGAAGAAAGGGGUUCCCCAAAUUUGCCGUUAAGCUUUAAAAUAAAAAUCGUCAUCUCAGCAAAUUAAAAGAAAGAAGAAAGGGGUAACCACCUGUUGCAAAUUAGUUGUUGUAAUGGAGAUGGCAUGGCAGAGAGGUGUAACCACCUGUCGAUAUCAAAUCUUCUAAGAAAACUUUGUAGCUUUCAAAUUUGGACUAAUCCCGUACGCCACCCGAUAUUGCCUCGCCGGAAUAAUUGGUACAGACAAACUGCGACCCAUUUGGACUCCCUAUAAAAAUUUCAGAUCUGAAGGUGUUUUUGAUGGGAUCUUAAAAAUGAGAAUUAAAAAA